rnacentral:rRNA from 1 species
UACGUAGGGUGCAAGCGUUGUCCGGAAUUAUUGGGCGUAAAGAGCUCGUAGGCGGCUCGUCACGUCGGCUGUGAAAACCCGGGGCUCAACCCCGGGCCUGCAGUCGAUACGGGCGAGCUAGAGUUCGGCAGGGGAGACUGGAAUUCCUGGUGUAGCGGUGAAAUGCGCAGAUAUCAGGAGGAACACCGGUGGCGAAGGCGGGUCUCUGGGCCGAUACUGACGCUGAGGAGCGAAAAGCGUGGGGGAGCGAACAGG